rfam:Triticum aestivum genome assembly, contig: Triticum_aestivum_CS42_TGACv1_scaffold_221696_3B
CUAGUACUGGUUCCGUCCGAAAAUACUUGUCGAAAAAAUCAUAAAACGGAUGUAUCUAAAACUAAAAUACGUAUAGAUACAUCCAUUCCUCCCACAAAUAUUUUCGGACGGAGGGAGUACUAC